CAUCACUGCUGAUUGUGACAGGCGUGCAGCGGCACACAUCCACAGAGCACUCUUCAAAUCAUCUACACAGUGGUUAUCCAACUAGGAUUAUAAAGGCACACAUUGACAUAGACCACUGUUGCAGUCAACGACACAGUCGCUAUCCAAGUAGCAUUAUAGAGCUGUCAUGCAACGCAACAACUGUGCUAUCUGCCAUCGCACAUCAACGAAGAAGUGCAGCCGCCCACAUUCCACCUCACGUCUGUUCGACCAGCUGCAAUCCUCGAGGACGCCCCACUGUACCACGAUUUCACUACGAUGUUUGACAAGAAGGAGCAGUGCGCGAGAUAGGCAAAUGAGCAGACUUCCCUCGCUUGAGUUUCGGAA